GAUGAAGAACGUAGCGAAAUGCGAUAAGUAAUGUGAAUUGCAGAAUUCAGUGAAUCAUCGAAUCUUUGAACGCACAUUGCGCCCCCCAGUAUUCUGGCGGACAUGCCUGUUCGAGCGUCAUUUCAACCAUCAAGCCCUGCUUGUGUUGGGGUCCUGCGGCUGCCCGCAGGCCCUGAAAACCAGUGGCGGGCUCGCUAGUCACACCGAGCGCAGUAGCACAUCUCGCUCAGGGCGUGCGGCGGGCUCCAGCCGUUAAAGCACCCACCUUUCGCAAGGUUGACCUCGGAUCAGGUAGGAAUACCCGCUGAACUUAAGCAUAUCAAUAAGCGGAGGA
rnacentral:misc_RNA from 1 species